GUGCAAAACCUUGAAAGUACAUCAAACCUUGUAGCUAACAUUCUUCAAUGUCCCAAAGUUUCUCUUCUGCAACUCUUCUUUUUGGCAGUUCUCGUCUUCUUCUAUAGAGGACUCCUCCUCUUCCUCAGCACAUCUUUCCUUAGAACUAACCUAAUUUGGACCGAGUUUCUCUUUCUUUAAUACUUGUUGUCACUAGAACUUUCCUCCUCACUAAUUCAUUCCUUUUUUCGAGCUUUUGCGACAACUAGGCCGAACUAUCAUCUUGAUAUACAUGCAAACUUUUGGUGAGCAGCAGGAGAUGGUCUUUUAGAAUGGUCCACUUUAUUGGGAGCCUCAUCAGAUUCUUCGUCAAGGAUUUUAUUGCAACACUCAACCUUGUAUAUAGCAGUCUUUCCUUUUCUGCUUAAGAAUCACUUUCUUCAGAGCUAUCACUUGUCCUCUUUCAUACUGGAGUCAUCACUUGACUCAUACUACUUUUCUUGGCUACAGUAAAUCUACAUACACAAUGAUGGAUAAUGUUUUUUUUAAGAUCUUCAAGAAGUUCUAAUUCUUACAGAUCCCUCAAGAAAAUUCUUUAGAUGCCAAAUGUUGGGAAUUCGGAAAAUUCAUUCUCAACCAACCAAAUAUCUUGAAAACAAGUGACACAAACACAAACAUAUUCGUUCCGCUUCCAAACGCUGGAAAUUCCAAUACCAAAUGUUCGGUCUAAUGUUUGCUAGGAUUUGAUUUCUUGUAAGAGAUUAUAUGCAAACUGAGAAUGUAUCAAAGAUUCUAGUGCUGAAGAACCUAUAUUCUUAAAUAUUUGAUUGAGACAAGUUAAUGGCGCGACAUUGAGAAUUCACAUAGCCCACCCUCAACUAACUUGGGACUGAGACAUAGUUAUUGUUGUUGUUGCUUUAAUGGAUGACCAGUUCAGUACAUUUAGCCGUGUUAACAACAACAACCCAGAAUAAUUCCACUAUUGGGGUUUGGGGAGGGUAGUGUGUACGCAGACCUUACCCCUACCCCGAAGGAGUAGAGAAGCUGUUUCCGAAAGACCCUCAACUCAAGAAAACAAAAAGACAAAAGGAGACAAUAUUAGUAUGACUACAAAAAUCAUAUGAAAAAUAUGAACAACAUGAAAUCUAGAAGAAAGAUGCAAAGCAAAAGCGAUAGCUAGUAAAUAGGUCCUGCACUGAAAAGCGAAAUAGUAAGAUACAACAUUGCUAAUAGCUAUCUUAAACAAAAACCCUACUAGAAUAGUCUCACAAUGGUACGAAGUAGGGCAAGACUCAACUACCUCAUAACCUACAACCCUACAUUUGGCCGUAUUGUUUUAGCUAAAGUCAUAUAGCCAAGUCUCCAAUCAUUUGAUUCAAAAAAGUUCCAGUACCAUGAUAAUUAUGUUGUGAAAGAGGUAUUCAGAUGAAAAAGUAAACAAAUCAGUAAA
rnacentral:lncRNA from 1 species